rnacentral:rRNA from 1 species
AUUGAACGCUGGCGGCAGGCCUAACACAUGCAAGUCGAACGGCGCGGCGGACGGGUGAGUGAUGCCUAGGAAUCUGCCUGUUAGUGGGGGAUAACGUCCGGAAACGGGCGCUAAUACCGCAUCCUAUCAGAUGAGCCUAGGUCGGCUUAGCUGGUUGGUGUGGUAAAGGCCUACCAAGGCGACGAGCCGUAACUGGUCUGAGAGGAUGAUCAGUCACACUGGAACUGAGACACGGUCCAGACUCCUACGGGAGGCAGCAGUGGGGAAUAUUGGACAAUGGGCGAAAGCCUGACCCAGCCAUGCCGCGUGUGUGAAGAAGGUCUUCGGAUUGUAAAGCACUUUAAGUUGGGAGGCGUUACCAACAGAAUAAGCACCGGCUAACUUCGUGCCAGCAGCCGCGGUAAUUC